GUAAAGUUAAUACCUUUGCUCAUUGACGUUAUCCGCAGAAGAAGCACCGGCUAACUCCGUGCCAGCAGCCGCGGUAAUACGGAGGGUGCAAGCGUUAAUCGGAAUUACUGGGCGUAAAGCGCACGCAGGCGGUUUGUUAAGUCAGAUGUGAAAUCCCCGGGCUCAACCUGGGAACUGCAUCUGAUACUGGCAAGCUUGAGUCUCGUAGAGGGGGGUAGAAUUCCAGGUGUAGCGGUGAAAUGCGUAGAGAUCUGGAGGAAUACCGGUGGCGAAGGCGGCCCCCUGGACGAAGACUGACGCUCAGGUGCGAAAGCGUGGGGAGCAAACAGGAUUAGAUACCCUGGUAGUCCACGCCGUAAACGAUGUCGACUUGGAGGUUGUGCCCUUGAGGCGUGGCUUCCGGAGCUAACGCGUUAAGUCGACCGCCUGGGGAGUACGGCCGCAAGGUUAAAACUCAAAUGAAUUGACGGGGGCCCGCACAAGCGGUGGAGCAUGUGGUUUAAUUCGAUGCAACGCGAAGAACCUUACCUGGUCUUGACAUCCACGGAAGUUUUCAGAGAUGAGAAUGUGCCUUCGGGAACCGUGAGACAGGUGCUGCAUGGCUGUCGUCAGCUCGUGUUGUGAAAUGUUGGGUUAAGUCCCGCAACGAGCGCAACCCUUAUCCUUUGUUGCCAGCGGUCCGGCCGGGAACUCAAAGGAGACUGCCAGUGAUAAACUGGAGGAAGGUGGGGACGACGUCAAGUCAUCAUGGCCCUUACGACCAGGGCUACACACGUGCUACAAUGGCGCAUACAAAGAGAAGCGACCUCGCGAGAGCAAGCGGACCUCAUAAAGUGCGUCGUAGUCCGGAUUGGAGUCUGCAACUCGACUCCAUGAAGUCGGAAUCGCUAGUAAUCGUGGAUCAGAAUGCCACGGUGAAUACGUUCCCGGGCCUUGUACACACCGCCCGUCACACCAUGGGAGUGGGUUGCAAAAGAAGUAGGUAGCUUAACCUUCGGGAGGGCGCUUACCACUUUGUGAUUCAUGACUGGGGUGAAGUCGUAACAAGGUAACCGUAGGGGAACCUGCGGUUGGAUCACCUCCUUACCUUAAAGAAGC
rnacentral:rRNA from 1 species